rnacentral:rRNA from 1 species
GACGAAGGAUGCAAGCGUUAUCCGGAUUCAUUGGGUUUAAAGGGUGCGUAGGCGGACUGAUAAGUCAGUGGUGAAAUCUCUCAGCUUAACUGAGAAACUGCCAUUGAUACUGUUAGUCUAGAGUAUAUUUGAUGUGGGCGGAAUAUGACAUGUAGUGGUGAAAUACUUAGAUAUGUCAUAGAACACCGAUUGCGAAGGCAGCUCACAAAACUAUAACUGACGCUGAGGCACGAAAGUGCGGGGAUCAAACAGG